rnacentral:misc_RNA from 1 species
GAAAUGCGAUAAGUAGUGUAAAUUAUAAAAUUCAGUAAAUCAUCGAAUCUUUAAACGCACAUUACGCCCUAUAGUAUUCCGUAGGGCAUGCCUAUUCGAGCGUCAUUUACACCUUCAAGCCUUGCUUAGUGUUGGGUGACUGUGGCCCCAUUAGGGCCACUCGCCUUAAAGUCAUUAGCGGCUAGUUCGUUGGCUUUAUAGCGCAGCACAAUUGCGUCCUUAAAGCCGCUAGACCAGCUCCUAGAAGCUAAUCUUUAAAUGUUUAACCUCGAAUCAGGUAGGGAUACCCGCUAAACUUAAGC